rnacentral:lncRNA from 1 species
CUUUAUUUAAGCUGACCUCUGGGCUCUUUCUAUUCUUUGAGCUUCCUGCCAAGGGGGUUGAUUGCUACGUUUCUAUGGAUGUAGAGUUUUUUGAUCUUAAUCUGAAAACUGUUUUCCUGUCUUGACCUUUACCUUUGCUAUAGAUCUGCCUAGUAAAUGCUGGUCCUGAUCGUAAUGUUGAUCUGUAGAUUGAUUUCGUAGCUUGGCCUCAGACCUGCUCAUCACUAGGAGUCUGCCUGAUGAGCUAGGCUAUUAGUUGGAGCUGGUCACCUCUAGACCCUCAUUUCUUAGAUGCUAUGGGACUGGACCUUGGCUGAGAUCCCUGCAAGGCCUUCAAGCAGCACAGAGGAUAUCUUAUCAAGGACAAGCCUGUGAUGCCCUGCCAGAAGGGGUAUGCAGCCAGGGAGCAGUGAGAGAAUGAACAAAAAAAUAUCUCCUGUAACGAGAAUGGUGAGGAUCUCCUAUGGCUCUUCAUGUAUAUGUUAGCUUUCCAUAAAGUCUGUGGCUGCUGAACUCAUGGUAAAAAUCCUACACCUGUUUGAAGUACUGAAAUGAAGAGCUGGAUCAGCUGGGUAUAAUUGCCUAAUGUUCUAGGAGCAAAUAAUGGCUCUUUUUCCAACUGUUAUGAAGUGCUGCUACAGAAGCACCACCAAUGAACAAGAUGUGAAGCUGGUGUGGGCUGCUUUCUGCCAAAUAAGUGACUUUGUUUGGAAGCAGCACUGGAAUUGUAAUUUGAAUCCAGCUCAAGAUUGAGGAGAGCCCUGCGAAGGCAAAGAUAACUCCCCAUAUGAUGAUGAGUUAACCAGUGUGCAGGAGAGCAACUCCUAGCCUAUUUCAGGCACAAGAUGUAUGUUGAAACAGGAUGAAACAGGAGGUGGAGAAAAUGCACUCAAUUCAAAUUCCAUUAACAGAAGCUUCAGUCAACCACAAACAGUUACUUCUAAUACAACUUAAGGAAGGCAUCUUCGUCGAUAUGUACGGGCAGAGCCACAGUCCUCUGUGCACAUCAGGAAGGUCAGCAGUGAGCCAGCUCCAGCUGCAUUACUGUGAAUAAGUAACCCCUAUUUGCUCUUCCUUAAUGUUAACCUUAUUUUUGAGUGGUGUCUUCAAAGUAGAUAUUCUUCUACAUUCAGGUGUUAAAUAAUUGUAUGGUUAAAGGUGUUUAUGUAGA